UACGAAGGGGGGCUAGCGUUGCUCGGAAUCACUGGGCGUAAAGCGCACGUAGGCGGCUUUCUAAGUCAGGGGUGAAAUCCUGGAGCUCAACUCCAGAACUGCCUUUGAUACUGGAGAGCUUGAGUCCGGAAGAGGUGAGUGGAACUCCGAGUGUAGAGGUGAAAUCGUAGAUAUUCGCAAGAACACCAGUGGCGAAGGCGGCUCACUGGCCCGGUACUGACGCUGAGGCACGAAAGCGUGGGGAGCAAACAGGAUAGAAUACCCCU
rnacentral:rRNA from 1 species